rnacentral:rRNA from 1 species
AGCAGCCGCGGUAAUUCCAGCUCCAAUAGCGUAUAUUAAAGUUGUUGCAGUUAAAAAGCUCGUAGUUGAAUUUUAGGCCUGGCCGGGCGGUCCGUCUUUGGCGAGUACUGUCCUGUGUCGGGUCUUCCUUCUGGUGAACCAGUAUGUCCUUUAUUGGGUGUGCCGGGGAGCCAGGACCAUUACCUUGAAAAAAUUAGAGUGUUUAAAGCGGGCAUUUGCUUGAAUAGAUUAGCAUGGAAUAAUAGAAUAGGACGUUGUGGUUCUAUUUUGUUGGUUUCUAGGACCACCGUAAUGAUUAAUAGGGAUAGUUGGGGGCAUUAGUAUUCAAUUGUCAGAGGUGAAAUUCUUGGAUUUAUUGAAGACUAACUACUGCGAAAGCAUUUGCCAAGGAUGUUUUCAUUAAUCAAGAACGAAAGUUAGGGGAUCGAAGACGAUCAGAUACCGUCGUAG